rnacentral:rRNA from 1 species
CACGUAGUUAGCCGUGGCUUUCUGAUUAGGUACCGUCAAGACGUGCACAGUUACUUACACAUUUGUUCUUCCCUAAUAACAGAGUUUUACGAUCCGAAGACCUUCAUCACUCACGCGGCGUUGCUCCGUCAGGCUUUCGCCCAUUGCGGAAGAUUCCCUACUGCUGCCUCCCGUAGGAGUCUGGACCGUGGUCUCAGUUCCAGUGUGGCCGAUCACCCUCUCAGGUCGGCUACGUAUCGUUGCCUUGGUAAGCCAUUACCCCACCAACUAGCUAAUACGGCGCGGGUCCAUCUAUAAGUGAUAGUAAAACCAUCUUUCACUUUAGAACCAUGCGGUUACUAAAUAUUAUCCGGCAUUUAGCCCCGGUUUCCCGGAGUUACUUCCAGUUCUUAUAGGUAGGUUACCCACGUGUUACUCACCCGUCCGCCGCUAACGUCAAAGGAGCAAGCUCUAUCUGUCGCUCGACUUGCAUGUAUUAGGCUACGCCGUCCACGCGUUACCAGUCCCUGAGCCCGAGGACUCAAACUCUCUA